rnacentral:rRNA from 1 species
UACGUAGGGGGCAAGCGUUGUCCGGAAUCAUUGGGCGUAAAGAGCGUGUAGGCGGCCCGGUAAGUCCGCCGUGAAAGUCCGGGGCUCAACCCUGGAAUGCCGGUGGAAACUGCCGGGCUGGAGUCCGGAAGAGGCGAGUGGAAUUCCUGGUGUAGCGGUGAAAUGCGCAGAUAUCAGGAGGAACACCAAUGGCGAAGGCAGCUCGCUGGGACGGUACUGACGCUGAGACACGAAAGCCAGGGGAGCGAACGGG